GACAGUUUGGCCGAGUGGUCUAGGCGCCGGAUUUAGGCUGCAGUCCGAAAGGCGUGAGUUCAAAUCCCACAGCUGUCA